rnacentral:rRNA from 1 species
UGAGUACGAGAUGCUACGGCAUUGAAGCAGUCUAUGUCAUACUUCCAAGAAAAGCUUGCACUGUCAUAAACAAAGAAUGCCUGUACCAUAACCGACACAGGUGGGUAGGUAGAGUAUACUAAGGGGCGCGAGAUAACUCUCUCUAAGGAACUCGGCAAAAUGACUCCGUAACUUCGGGAGAAGGAGUGCCUUAUUUUUAAGGUUGCAAUAACAAGAUCCAAGCAACUGUUUAUCAAAAACACAGGUCUCCGCUAAGUCGUAAGACGAUGUAUGGGGGCUGACGCCUGCCCAGUGCCAGAAGGUUAAAGAAGUUGGUUAGCAUUCGCGAAGCUGAUAACUGAAGCCCUGGUGAACGGCGGCCGUAACAAUAACGGUCCUAAGGUAGCGAAAUUCCUUGUCGGGUAAGUUCCGACCCGCACGAAAGGCGUAAUGAUUUGGAUACUGUCUCGGAGAGGGACUCGGUGAAAUAGACUUGUCUGUGAAGAUGCGGACUACCUGCACCUGGACAGAAAGACCCUAUGAAGCUUUACUGUAACUUGAAAUUGAAAUUGGACUUUAGUUGCGCAGGAUAGGUGGGAGGCGUUGAGAAUAUUCUUGCGGGAGUAUUGGAGCCAUCAGUGAGAUACCACUCUUCUAAUGUUAGAUUUCUAACUUUGUAUCAUUAUCUGGUCAAAGAACAGUUUCAGGCGGGCAGUUUGACUGGGGCGGUCGCCUCCUAAAGGGUAACGGAGGCGCACAAAGGUUUCCUCUGAACGAGUAGAAAUCGUAUCUAGAGUGUAAGGGCAUAAGGAAGCUUGACUGUGAGACCUACAAGUCGAGCAGGGACGAAAGUCGGUCUUAGUGAUCUGACGGUGCUGAGUGGAAAGGCCGUCACUCAACGGAUAAAAGUUACUCUAGGAUAACAGGCUGAUCUCCCCCAAGAGUUCACAUCGACGGGGAGGUUUGGCACCUCGAUGUCGGCUCAUCGCAUCCUGGGGCGGUAGUACGUCCCAAGGGUUGGGCUGUUCGCCCAUGAAAGCGGUACGCGAGCUGGGUUCAGAACGUCGUGAGACAGUUCGGUCCAUAUCCGGUGUAGGCGUUAGAAUAUUGAGAGGAGCCUUCUCUAGUACGAGAGGACCGAGAAGGACAUACCUCUAGUGUACCAGUUAUCGUGCCAACGGUAAACGCUGGGUAGCUAUGUAUGGAGUGGAUAACCGCUGAAAGCAUCUAAGUGGGAAGCCCACCUC